rnacentral:misc_RNA from 1 species
CCGAGUUUACAACUCCCAAACCCCUGUGAACAUACCUACUUGUUGCCUCGGCGGAUCAGCCCGCGCCCGUAAAACGGGACGGCCCGCCGCAGGAACCCUAAACUCUGUUUCUAUAGUGGAACUCCUGAGUAUAAAACCAUAAUAAAUCA